ensembl:snRNA LOC120098419 U4 spliceosomal RNA
AGCUUUGCGCAGUGGCAGUAUCGUAGCCAAUGAGGUUUAUCCGAGGCGCGAUUAUUGCUAAUUGAAAAGAACUUCAAGACUCUGAAGAAAGAAAUUGAAGAAGACCUCAGAAGAUG